rnacentral:rRNA from 1 species
GACAGAGGGUGCAACCGUUGUUCGGAAUUACUGGGCGUAAAGCGUGCGCAGGCGGCGCGUUAAGACAGGUGUGAAAGCCCCGAGCUUAACUUGGGAAUUGCGCUUGUGACUGGCGUGCUGGAGUGUGGCAGAGGGAGGUGGAAUUCCACGUGUAGCAGUGAAAUGCGUAGAGAUGUGGAGGAACACCGAUGGCGAAGGCAGCCUCCUGGGCCAGCACUGACGCUCAUGCACGAAAGCGUGGGGAGCAAACAGG